rnacentral:rRNA from 1 species
GACGAACGCUGGCGGCGUGCUUAACACAUGCAAGUCGAACGGAAAGGCCCCUUUGGGGGUCCUCGAGUGGCGAACGGGUGAGUAACACGUGAGUAACCUGCCCUUGACUUCGGGAUAACUUCAGGAAACUGGGGCUAAUACCGGAUAGGAAUCCUUGCUGCAUGGUGGGGGUUGGAAAGCUUCGGCGGUUUUGGAUGGACUCGCGGCUUAUCAGCUUGUUGGUGGGGUAGUGGCUUACCAAGGCUUUGACGGGUAGCCGGCCUGAGAGGGCGACCGGCCACAUUGGGACUGAGAGACGGCCCAGACUCCGACGGGAGGCAGAAGGGGGGAAGAUUGCACAAUGGGCGGAAGCCUGAUGCAGCAACGCCGCGUGCGGGAUGACGGCCUUCGGGUUGAAAACCGCUUUCAGCAGGGGCGAAGCUUGUGGUGACGGUACCUGCAGAAGAAGCACCGGCUAACUACGUG